GACGAACGCUGGCGGCGUGCCUAAUACAUGCAAGUCGAGCGAAUGACGAGAAGCUUGCUUCUCUGAUUUAGCGGCGGACGGGUGAGUAACACGUGGGCAACCUGCCCUACAGAUCGGGAUAACUCAGGGAAACCUGGGCUAAUACCGGAUAAUCCUUCGAAUCACAUGUUUUGAAGUUGAAAGGCGCUUCGGCGUCACUGUAGGAUGGGCCCGCGGUGCAUUAGCUAGUUGGUGGGGUAACGGCCUACCAAGGCAACGAUGCAUAGCCGACCUGGGAGGGUGAUCGGCCACAUUGGGACUGAGACACGGCCCAAACUCCUACGGGAGGCAGCAGUAGGGAAUCUUCCACAAUGGACGAAAGUCUGAUGGAGCAACGCCGCGUGAGUGAUGAAGGUUUUCGGAUCGUAAAACUCUGUUGUAAGGGAAGAACAAGUACGUUAGGAAAUGAACGUACCUUGACGGUACCUUAUUAGAAAGCACGGCUAACUACGUGCCAGCAGCCGCCGCAG
rnacentral:rRNA from 1 species